rnacentral:misc_RNA from 1 species
CACGUCACGAAAGUCGGUAACACCCGAAGUCAGUGGCCCAACCGCAAGGGGGGAGCUGCCGAAGGUGGGAUCGGUGAUUGGGACGAAGUCGUAACAAGGUAGCCGUACCGGAAGGUGCGGCUGGAUCACCUCCUUUCUAAGGAGUUCCUUAGAUGUAAGCGUCUAGUUUUACUAGCGUCUUAUGUGGAGCAUUGACUUAGGUUUAUUUCUUUCAAAAAUCUCUAGUACAACUGAAAACCCUCUCCGUUUACGGGAAGGGUUACUAAGAGUGGAACAAGCUCUCUUUGAAGACUGAACUGGGCACGUUGUUGGGUCCUGAGGGGACGGCUAGCGCCUACCUUCUGGACUUAGUAAGCAGGUCAAACCAGAUGUAUCUCGAUUGAAAGAUCGAAUACGUAAAGGUGGCCACGGCAUACUGAGUACCGCCCGUAGCUUGAGAACUACACAGUGGACGCGAGCAUCUUUGUGGUCAAAUUAUUAAGUGCACAUGGCGGAUGCCUUGGCACCAGAAGCCGAUGAAGGACGUAGGAGGCUGCGAUAAGCCUCGGGGAGCUGUCAACCGAGCUGUGAUCCGAGGAUUU